CUCCCGUACCUUAUCCGGCUUCCCCUCCCCCCGUCGCGCACUUUCCCUCGCAACCACCCCCGAUCCCACCCGCAACCCCCCGACCAACUGCCCCCGGCUCCGGCGCACCUGCCGGCCCCGCCUCCUUCCGGCUCACCGCCGCCCCAGCCUCCUCUGGGCGCGGGGCCGUCCGCGCCUCAGCCUCCUUCCGGUGGCACGAGGCCGCCGCCGCCCCCGCCUCCUCCUGGCCCGCCGGCGACCCUGCCUCUUCCUGCCGAGGCCGCCUCCUCCUCCAGGCACGUCGCGCCCGUGCCUCCUUCCGGCGCGAGGCCGCCGCCUCUUCCAGGCACGCCGGUGCCCCUGCCUCCUUCCGACUCAAGGGCACUUCCGCCACAAGGAAGUAGCCCUCCUUCAUCCACCGCCCGAUGUGUCGCCGCCCCCAAUGAUCCACUCCUCUCCUCUGGCUCCUGGUCGAUGAUCAUGGCCCAUCCUGCUGCUUGCCUCCUUCCUCGCGUAUGCAUAAAAAAAUAGGUGAGUCGCUGCAGUCCAAGUCGCGCCAUAGCAGCAGGGCGACUCUUCUAGGAUGCAUCUCACGCUCAACCGGCUCCAAUUUUGCGCGCAUGGGGUUGGUGCUGCUCCAGCGAGCUCCUCCAUCCCCAGCUUGUCCCUGAAUGCAGACACUGCACCGCGCAGGCUCCUACCCACCGUUCCUCCUCUCUGCUUCUUCACUCUUCACUUCUCUAGAUUUUGGUGUGUGCACACAAAAUGUUCACUAAAAUGUCUCAGUGCAGUAGUACCAGUUUUGUGUGUUUGUUUUCCCUUCUAGCUUAGUCCUUGCCUGCUAAUUGAUAUAGCUUGGAUUACUUAAGAGUGUUUUUCAUGUGUGUUUCUGCACUUUAGGUUGAAUUUCACCCUGCAUCCCCGACGUAGCGCUUCUCUGGCUCCUCCCCCGCUUGCUGCCAGGUCUGUCUCUCCUUCCUCCCCUGCUUGCCGUCAUGUGCGGCGUUGGACGUGGCUACUUGAUGGAGUGAAGCUGGCCUCCGAGCACCGUCAGUUGCACUGCACCCUACAAAAAAAGAACAGCCGCAAGUUCAGAAUCAGAAAAAUUAGAAGUUCAAGAAGAACAAAGGCACUGCCUUCACUCGUGUGCUUGCAAACUGCUAGGGACAACCAUGUUGAUGGCGAUUGAAAGAGGAUUCUGAAAUAAUAUUAUUGAGACUGAAGACCAAGUUUGAUAAUGCACGAUGUCAGAGGAUUCCAGGGCUUUCUCUGAGGUGGUUGAUGGCUUCCGAGAAAUGCGUUCAUAUCUCACAAGUUUCAGGGGUUCAAGUUCAUCUAUAUAAGAAGGAAUUCCAAUUUUGUUGCACAUCUGUGUGUGGAAGAGGCGCUGAAACUUGAUGUGCUUACUAUUUCUUUUCUUGUAACACCUAGGUACAUCACGUGGUUUCAAUCACAGUUAUUUUUCACUGCCAUGGCCCGACACCUCCUCCAUCUCGGUGCCACCGUCAUGACCUAGCCUACAUUUGCUGGUUGCUUCUAGCUGAUGUUGUUGCGUCCUGCCUCGCCGUCUAACUGAUGUUAGUGCGCUGCUGCUGCAGUUCAGCUAGAGUGGGAGAAAGAUCUCUGUGAGAGUUUAGCUGCUGUUGCUGUCUUUAAUUUUUGUUUUUGAACUUGUUGGUUAAAGAUAAUGAUGUUGCUUUCUACA